GGCUGGUCCUUAGGUAGUGAGUUGUCUCAAUUGUUCAUAGUCAGCUACAGAUUGAACUCCUUGUUCUAAUCUUUCCCCCUUCUCACUACUACACUUGACUAGUCUAAA
ensembl:misc_RNA Y_RNA Y RNA